rnacentral:tRNA from 1 species
GGAGAGGUCGCCUAGUGGUCUAUGGCGCCGCAUUGGAAAUGCGGUUUGGGGGCAACUCCAUCGUGGGUUCGAAUCCCACCCUCUCCGCCA